CCUAUCAAAUUUCGAUGGUACUUUCUGUGCCUACCAUGGUGACCACGGGUAACGGAGAUUCAGGGUUCGAUUCCG
rnacentral:rRNA from 1 species